CUGCAGUGAUGAAUCUUUUUGAACUCUCUCUUACCGAAUCAACCUUUGAAGAAACCCCUUUACCAGAUUCUGAGUAGC
ensembl:snoRNA SNORD26 Small nucleolar RNA SNORD26